rnacentral:rRNA from 1 species
UACGUAGGGGGCAAGCGUUAUCCGGAUUUACUGGGUGUAAAGGGAGCGUAGACGGUGAGACAAGUCUGCAGUGAAAGCCCGGGGCUCAACCCCGGGACUGCUUUUGAAACUGUGUGACUGGAGUGCCGGAGAGGUAAGUGGAAUUCCUAGUGUAGCGGUGAAAUGCGUAGAUAUUAGGAGGAACACCAGUGGCGGAGGCGGCUUACUGGACGGUAACUGACGCUGAGGCUCGAAAGUGUGGGUAUCAAACAGG